CACGUAGGGGGCAAGCGUUGUCCGGAUUUAUUGGGCGUAAAGAGCUCGUAGGUGGUUCGGUAAGUCGGGUGUUAAACCCCCAGGCUCAACCUGGGGACGCCACUCGAUACUGUUGUGACUAGAGUCCGGUAGGGGAGCGUGGAAUUCCUGGUGUAGCGGUGAAAUGCGCAGAUAUCAGGAGGAACACCGGUGGCGAAGGCGGUGCUCUGGGCCAGUACUGACGCUGAGGAGCGAAAGCGUGGGGAGCAAACAGG
rnacentral:rRNA from 1 species